rnacentral:lncRNA from 1 species
AUGCAAAUGUCAUUGGUGUGAAACCCCACUGUACUGGAAGAAUUAAUAUAUUACUAUAGUAAUGUACUGGAGCUAAAUGGCUGAAGCUUUAGGGGUGCAUAGAAACCACCAUAAUUUGUAUGACAUUUUGAAGUGAAUUAAAUAUUUUUGAACAUGCUUCUUCGACAGCCAGUGUUAUAUUUUUCAGAUUAACACAAAGCACAAUGAUUACUCUAAACUCAAUAUUUUCAAAUUCACAUAUUUAAAGUCAUGCAAGCUGCAACUUCCCUGUCAAAAUUACUGGCUGCCAAAUUUAUACCUGUUUCUUCAGCUGUACCUUUUGAUAUUUAGAAUUUUUAAAUUUCUGUAAAGUAGAUUUUGUAGAAUGUAAUGUGUUCACUGCCUUUGUGAAGCGGUAUAUAAUUGUAUAAUUUCUGUGUGUAAACUGAAUGCUUGGGCUUUCAAUACAGUAUUCAUAUAAAGCAAUAAAUAUUAAUGUUAUGAAAUA